AUGCGAGUCCUUGGACUCGCCGCCAUCGAGAGGGCGCGUAAGAGACAGGCCUCACGCGUCACCUGGCUACGUGCGAGGGACGCCAAGAUGGCGUUCUUCCAGGCAAAAAUCUACUCACGGCGCCAAAAAAACUUCAUCCAUGCCCUACACACCCGAGACUCCAUUGCCACCUCCCACGGCAACAAGGAGCGGAUCAUUCAUGAGCACUUCCGAUCCUCACUAGGCACAAAAUCGCCUCGUAGCCGAACCAUCAACGGGGAAUCCAUCCACCUGCCGUCCUUGCCGGUAGCCUCGACAACCCCUUCACCGAGGAUGAGGUGUGGGCGGCGAUUUGCAAAUCUCCGGGGCCGGACGGCUUCAAUGGCACUUUCUUCCGCUCAUGCUGGUCCAUCAUCAAGACUGACGUCAUGGCCGCCUUCCACCAAUUCUACAAUCUCUCAGGCGGCGACAUGUCGGCGAUCAACAACGCUACAAUCAUUCUCCUGCCAAAAAAGGAUGGGGCAACGGAGAUCACCCACUUCAGGCCCAUCAGUUUGA
rnacentral:rRNA from 1 species